UGAACCAGCAGCAGCAACUGCUGCCCUCUAACCUAAACACACACACACAAAGUAUCUGAAGGAAAAGAAAGGGAAGGUAGAAUCGGGAAAAAGAAGAAGGAGGGGAGGGGGCUUCUACCGCUGUUCAGCUCGCUGCCACCAUGUCACACCUUGCCGCCGUGCCUCACGCCUCGCCGCCGUCAUCCUCGCGGGCAUGGAGGAAGCCUUUCUACUACCACUACUGCCCGUGAAGGCGACGCCGUCGCGUCAGAGCUCUGGCGAGAGGGAGAAGGUCGCGAAGGAGGAGGGAACCGCGCCGUUUUGCUCUGCCGUCGCCACUAAAACUGCACCCAUUCCCUAGUUGUCGCCGCGCCAAACACAGGGGUGGCCGCCGUGGCUGCAGAGGAGUCGCGUGGCCACCGUCGCAUCCUCGCGCACACAGAGAGAGGGAUGCGCGAAAGGGGACCCUUUUCCGCCGCUGUCAUGCCGUGAGCGCCGAUUCGGUGUUUGCCGCCGUCGAGCUUCCAUAGCUGUCGCGUUUCACCGCGAUUGAGGGCGUCUCCACCACCGCACCUUGGCCGACGGCACUGCCAUCUGCUGCUCCGCGGUGCCUAGCUGGAGCUUUUGUUGCUGUUGCCGAAAAUCGGUGGUUGCCAAAAAAUACCACUGUUGUUGCUGCCGAAAGAGGGAGAUGCUGUGCCGCUGUUCUGGUCGCCAGGAGCAGUCUUGCGGCCACCAGAAACACCACCGGGGAUGCCGCCGCUUGGCUCAGUAACUUCUCCUUAGUUGCGGGCUGAGUUCGAAUUAUGGCAUGUAACAGUUAGGCUUGUUGUUGCUGUUGCGAGUAGUUAAAGCUGAGGCUGCCUCUGUCGCCGAAAAGUUUGCCGUCAUCGUGAUUGGAAUUCGUCGCCGCUGCCGCUUGAGGUGGCUGUCGGGCUGCCGCCGAGCCGGUUUGGAGACCACCGCGGUGUCGGUUCAGCCGUUCCUCCUUCGGUUUGAUAAGCGUUUUCGAUUUGAAAGCCCUUUAGUUACUGUUCUGUUAUCAUACGCGGAGGUUUAUGGCGUUAAUUCCUAUACGAUUGAGUUUCGGUUAUUAUAUGUUGCGAAUAGUGUAGCUAUGGUUAUUGCGAAAGUGGCUGGGAGCUGAGGUUUUGGUUGCCGGUGAUUUCGAGUUCAGGCGGAAAGGACUCUGUGAGACGUUGGAUUAUGGAAUUUGCGUUUUGAGGAUAUGGGUGCUGAAGUCACGAAGAGUUUAUUUAAUUGUUGUUGUAAUGCUCUGUAUUAUUUUAGUUAUGUUUUAUUGUACCCUUGCCUUUAUCUUGAUAUAUUCUGUAAGAGGGAUAGGAAUUGUAUUGGUUACUGCUUGUAAUAUUAUUUAUAAAUAUAUGUAUCUAUAUGGAUGUAUCCUUUAUGAGUUUUUGUAAGUUAUAUGGUAUGCAUGGAUGUACGUUGUAUAGCAAAAGUAUUUUUAGGAGCGGUUUUGCGGUUUAAAGAUUUAAACAGGCUCAUAUUUUAGUAUUAAAUAGUAUAAGUGUCGUCGUAAUGUUCGAGCUAUCAGAGUUGCGCAGUCGGAAGCGUGAGCUUUGGUAGUUAGGGUGUUACAUUAUGGUAUCAGAGCAGUCCUUCCUGUAGAGCCUGAGGAAUGGACCAACUAUGCUUCAAUUGCAUACUCUGAGUGCUUGUCAUGUAUUAGGUUUUUUCGAAUGACGAGAAUUAGAGCUUUAUGCACAUGACGGUCUAUUGAUUAAUGCUGUUAGGCUUGCAUUGCAUAAUUCUUGGUAUUAAGUUUGGCCGGCUUAAUAGUAGUGAAUUUUGUAUAUGAAAGUACUAAUGGGUUAUCAUAGAUGAUAUACGAGUUUUGAGUAAAGUGAAUCGCGAGUUUUGAGAAUGCUAGAAGCUAUUUCUCGAGGCUAUUCAGUUGUGUGUCUUGAAUUUCGUUCGAGUCUACCUGUUCUUUCAUGUCCUAACUUGAAGUUCUUGUUUGCUGAUCCUUUUGAGGAGUAGUUUGAUUUUUCAACUUUAUUCCUCUAUCCACAGGCAUUCUUGUUUGAUCGUAAGUGCAUAUGCUUGUUUGAGAUCCUUGUUGCAUCUACCCUCCUCUGUUUGAGUUCUUUUUUAUUACUGUAUUCAUUGAUAUAGCCUUGAACUUGUCUU